UGAGGGAUCUUGCACAAUGGGGGCAACCCUGAUGCAGCGACGCCGCGUGGGUGAGGAAGGCCUUCGGGUCGUAAAGCCCUUUUCUGCGUGACGAGGAAGGACGGUAGCGCAGGAAGAAGCGUCGGCUAACUACGUGCCAGCAGCCGCGGUAAAACGUAGGACGCGAGCGUUAUCCGGAGUUACUGGGCGUAAAGGGCGUGCAGGCGGGAGCGCAAGUCACGCGUGAAAGUCUUCGGCUCAACCGGGGGAAGACGGGUGAUACUGCGAUUCUAGAGGGCGCUAGAGGGACACGGAAUUCCGGGUGUAGUGGUGAAAUGCGUAGAGAUCCGGAGGAACACCAGUGGCGCAGGCGGUGUUCUGGGGCGCACCUGACGCUGAGACGCGAAAGCAUGGGGAGCGAACGGGAUUAGAAACCCCGGUAGUCCAUGCCGUAAACGAUGCCGACUAGCGGUCUGGGGAAACCUGGGUCGCGCAGCAAACGCGAUAAGUCGGCCGCC
rnacentral:rRNA from 1 species